GUCAUAUCACGUUGAAACACCAAAAGAUCACCGAAGUUAUGCAACCUUGAAACUGGUCACUACUUGGAUGGGUGACCGCUUGGGAAUACCAGGUGCUGUAA